rnacentral:rRNA from 1 species
UACGUAGGCAGCGAGCGUUGUUCGGAGUUACUGGGCGUAAAGGGUGUGUAGGCGGUUGUUUAAGUUUGGUGUGAAAUCUCCCGGCUCAACUGGGAGGGUGCACCGAAUACUGAAUGACUCGAGUGCGGGAGAGGAAAGUGGAAUUCCUGGUGUAGCGGUGAAAUGCGUGGAUAUCAGGAGGAACACCGGUGGUGUAGACGGCUUUCUGGACCGUAACUGACGCUGAGACACGAAAGCGUGGGUAGCAAACAGG